rnacentral:rRNA from 14 species
UUCUUUACCCCGUCUUGGAACACGGACCAAGGAGUCUAACAUGUGCGCGAGUCCGCAGGAUUAUGCGAAGCCUUAAGGGCAGAAUGAAAGUGAAGGUCGACUUCUUUUCGGGUUGACCGAGGUGGGAUCCUGGUGAACGUCAAACCUUUGCCAGGCGCACCGCCGGCCCGUCUCGACUGCUUAUUGUCGGUGAGGCGGAGCAAGAGCGUACACGUUGGGACCCGAAAGAUGGUGAAC